rnacentral:rRNA from 1 species
AUGUAGUACUGGUCCAUCGAGGGGGCGCAGGAGGUGUUUGGCGACAAGGUGUGCAUCGACCGGCUCGACAGCCGCACGCUGGAGCGCGCCCACACCAAGACCUUUGCCUGCUGGGUCUGGGUAUGGGACAUGUCCUUCAUCCCCACCAGGCACACCUACUGGAAGCUUCCGCGGGGCGCCGGUUGGGUGGAGGAGUUGGUUGGUUUCUCGCCGCCAGACCGCAGGGUGGCGCCUCCUUCGGGCGCGACGCGGUUCGACCUCCUCAUCUGCGUAGACCUCAUCGAAGACUGGUCGUCACGCUCCCCUCGCUCCUCCCACUCCGUGCAGAGCGGGCUGCCAUCCUUCGGCACCAACAACGACGACGCGCUGCCGCGCACCUUCCCCGGCACCUGGACCAUGCACGUCGAGGAUGGCCAGCACGAGGAGCCGCACAGGCGCCAGGCCCAUGCCCCGGUGGUGGACACCGGAUGCUGGGGCCUGCCCCUCAGCGGCUCUAGGCGUGACCCCGACAACGACGGGGCCGGCAGAAGGUCCUGGAAGGACACGCUUCUGGGCCACGGGCGCGGCCACCAAGCUCAGGCUGAGGUCUCGUCCAGGGAGCACCGUGUCCGCAGCCGCUCGCCGUCGACGCGUCACCGCAAUAGCAGUUCCAAGGGACAGGGCCGCAAGACCAAUGGCUACGGGCGCAAGACCAGCAGCCACGGGCCCAAGAAGAGUGCAAGACAGGACGUGCCCACGGCCGCCCCGGCUCCACCCGCUCACCUCAGCUCCGAAUCCCUCAACGACGACCUAGAGUAG